AAUUUAUAAUUUUUGCGAGGUGGCUACGACUGUGGCUACGAUAACGAAAUUAACGCGAUAUGUAUAUAUACAAACUUGAUUGUUAUUAAUCGUAUACUUUGCUUUGUAAAAUUAUCUAUUUUCUGACGUUAAAAAUUAUCGCAAGUUCGAAUAAAAUAUAGGAAGAUGUUUAUUGAUACUCGUGAUUUCCUGUUUGAAUUUUAUUCUAAACAUCGCGUAGAACGUUACGAAUACUCCUCGAACUGACAGCAAGAUUGAAACAUACAAGUUGGAAGAUUGCAGCAGCGUUAUACAAAUAUACGUAGAUAUGAAAAUUUUACUUGACACAAAAUCAGCGUUGAAUUUUUCACUUCAAUCCGCAACGUUACGAAGAAAAUCCAUAAAAAUAUCGACGACCGCUUCCAGCAAGUCCAACUCAAUGGUCCAUUAAAAUAAAUCCUCCGAUAAACCAAAGUACCUCGAUUCGAGCCAGGCCGUAAAAUUCCAAAUUGAAACAAACUCCAAAAGUACCAAUCAACGUCUGGAAAAAGUCGGGAACUUUAUCGAGCUGUAAUCAUAAUGAUAUCCUGGAAACGCGUUUAUCCCGAUGCCGAACAUUCGCGGUAAGUUUCCUCGCGCGACACAGCCGAAAGAUCAGCGAGGAAAGUUUCCUCGUGCGUCACUUAGGUCCGGUUCGCGUCGACUGCCGGAUAAAUGCCGUGUUCUUUUCUCGAUUUGAUGUCCACCUUGAGCCAGGCCAGCCGACAAACGAUCCACCUUUCGGACACUUCGAUAUAAGUAAAUAUUUUUAAUUCCAGCGUGACUAAGGCCGACCAGGCAGCCAUUCCGGAUUCCAACGUUUGUCAGAGAAAAUUCUCUUUUUCCCAGGGGAACCCGUGAGGCACGGCUAGGUUACGCCAAUGGAGUCAUCGAGGGGAAUUCAGGUGCACCACGGUCAAGGUAACAGGGCUGUUUGGGACCCGUCGUCUUUUCUCGCCUUCUUUUUCGUGUAAAGGGAUAACUUGUUCCUCGCCUGACCACGGCUGUUCAAGCCGGGUGAAAGUUUAACUUGGCUACGAGGAACGGGCCGGUCUCCGGAGUUUGCCGAGUUUGAUGGUGUUUUGAUGGCGUUGGACGUAAAGAGGAUACGAUGGACCGCGAGCUGGUUAAACGACUAAGGGAAUUGGAGAAGGGUUCUGGAAUUUUCUGGUCUGGUUCCGAUGAUUUUAUGAAAAUAUCACGACAGCAAUGAGACAGUUGUAUUAUCGAAGGUUUCAUAUUUAACGAGCUAUACAAGAAAAAAAAAAAAGAAUUAUAUAAAUCUGCAACGACCGAACGAUCGACUUGAUUAAUGGAUAAGUAAUUAUAUUUUAAUACCAUAUAAUUACAACGUUGUCAAGAAACUUUGUUUCUUGCGUGUUUACCAUUGGCUGCUCUGGCUAAAUAAUUUUUAUCUCUGUUCUGUUUGCGAUCUUAAACUUGUAUUCUCCUUUAUUUUCUUGCUCGUCCGCUAUUUGUCUAACAAUUAUCUUGUGAAGAUAAUAUCUGUGGUUACCUGCGUUUUUCACCUUCACUAAUUGGGAUAAUUUAAAGUUAAACGUAGCAUAAAUAAUUGUUGAGAUUGUUAUCUAAUAUUUCACAUAAGUUGUAAGUUGUGUAUUUUAAAAACGGUUACUGUAUUAUUAGCGAUUUUUUUAGUAAUUAAAUACAAAUUUAGAAAUUUUUGAUCGAUCCGAUAAAGAUUGACAAUUUACUUUCAACGACGAUAAUUAACAAUUUUUUUCAGAAACACUAAUUUAAUUACGGAUUUAAAAAAUUUUAAUUUCUCAAAUUAAUUACUCAAAUAAAAUUUGUAUCUUAUUUACUAUUUACUCUGUCACUUUGUUUCAAACAACGUUAUUCAAAUAAUAAUAUAUUUAGGAAAUAUAAAUUAAUACUUGUCGUUAUAUUUGCCGUUUAAAUAUCUGUUAUUUAAUUUUACCAAGAAAAUAAAGCUGUUCUUUCAUGGUGCGUGGAAUUCCUACUCCCAAACCGUACAAAUCAGACAAUUGUUAUCACCAACGGUGUUUGCUUUUACCGCAAGUGUUUGUAUUCUAAUGUCUAAGUCUAAGUAGAUUUCUUUUCCUACUUCCCACUAAUCUAAUAAGAAAAUUUGACUACCGAGUUGCU